rnacentral:rRNA from 1 species
AUUGAACGCUGGCGGCAUGCCUUACACAUGCAAGUCGAACGGCAGCACGGGAGCAAUCCUGGUGGCGAGUGGCGAACGGGUGAGUAAUAUAUCGGAACGUGCCCAGUAGUGGGGGAUAACUGCUCGAAAGAGCAGCUAAUACCGCAUCCGACCUGAGGGUGAAAGGGGGGGAUCGCAAGACCUCUCGCUAUUGGAGCGGCCGAUAUCAGAUUAGCUAGUUGGUGGGGUAAAGGCCUACCAAGGCAACGAUCUGUAGUUGGUCUGAGAGGACGACCAGCCACACUGGGACUGAGACACGGCCCAGACUCCUACGGGAGGCAGCAGUGGGGAAUUUUGGACAAUGGGCGCAAGCCUGAUCCAGCAAUGCCGCGUGCAGGAAGAAGGCCUUCGGGUUGUAAACUGCUUUUGUCAGGGAAGAAAUCCUCUAGGUUAAUACCCUUGGGGGGAUGACGGUACCUGAAGAAUAAGCACCGGCUAACUACGUGCCAGCAGCCGCGGUAACAC